rnacentral:rRNA from 1 species
CACGCAUGACACACUGCAUAUCAAUAAGCGGAGGAAAAGAAACUAACAAGGAUUCCCUUAGUAACGGCGAGUGAAGCGGGAAGAGCUCAAAUUUGAAAUCCUCAAGGUUCUACCUUGACGAAUUGUAGUUUAAUAGAAGUGUUUUCUGUUAGUAGAGUUGGCUAAAAGUUCUUUGGAAUAGGACAUCAUAGAGGGUGAGAAUCCCGUAUUUGUACCAUUCUCCUAGCUGUUGUGAUACACUUUCAACGAGUCGGAUUGUUUGGGAAUGCAGUCCAAAAUGGGUGGUAAAUUUCAUCUAAAGCUAAAUAUUGGCGAGAGACCGAUAGCGAACAAGUACCGUGAGGGAAAGAUGAAAAGAACUUUGAAAAGAGAGUUAAACAGUACGUGAAAUUGUCAAAAGGGAAGCGUUUGACACCAGUGUUGUUUUUCCGAAAAUCAAUUACGAAUGUUUUAUUUUUAGAGAGUUAUGACUUCAUCGGCUUGCUUCUUUCUUUACGAAACUUUCUUAAUGCACUUUUCGGUUAACAAGUCAACAUCAAUUUCUUUUGUUGUAAAAGGGUAUGAGGAAGGUGGCUUUCUUUUCGGAGAAAGUGUUUAUAGCCUUGUACCUCUGCAAUCGGAGAGAUUGAGGUCUGCAGCGUAGAUCCUUCGGGGUUAGAUACAUUUGUGCUAAGUUAUAGCUUUUCAUAGACAACUUGUUGACUAUGUUUAGUCUUGUAGCUUACUCGCUUACUGCUAUUUUACCUACGCUUAGGAUGUUGAGCGCAUGUCUCUCUCU